UGCUGCUUCAAAUUGCAUGCAAAUCUCCUCAAAGCCUACCUCUUCCCAGCGAGAUGGAAAGAGAGCUUUUCCCCCCAUUUUGCUAAUGCUGCUGUCUCAGUGUCACACUCCAUGACAUUUAACAUCUUUGCCAAAUUAAAUUUGUGCAAAAUCAGCUGCUUAGUCGUGCUGAGGGCAGUCCUGCUGAUUUUAGCAGUAUGUGGACACCACAGUGACUGACAUGACUUCUGUAUGGACUGAAAAUUCAGAGAUAACACUGAAGAGAAAUCCUUUAACAGCAAGAUCUUAUAUAGGCAAAAGGUGUCACAAAGGGAAAAUCCUACAUAGUAAAAAAAAAUAAAUCUCAUCUGCCACACCA
rnacentral:lncRNA from 1 species